rnacentral:misc_RNA from 1 species
GAUGAAGAACGCAGCGAAAUGCGAUAAGUAAUGCGAAUUGCAGAAUUCAGUGAAUCAUCGAAUCUUUGAACGCACAUUGCGCCCGCCAGUAUUCUGGCGGGCAUGCCUGUCUGAGCGUCGUUUCGACCCUCGCGCCCGGCUUCUGUCGGGGGCGGUGUUGGGGAUCGGCCACACCCUUCAGUGGGAGGCCGGCCCCUAAAUUCAGUGGCGACCACGCUGUAGCCUCCCCUGCGUAGUACUAAAACCACCUCGCAGGCGGAGAGCGGUGCGGCCCGCCGUAAAACCCCCCAACUUUUACAAGGUCGACCUCAGAUCAGGUAGGAAUACCCGCUGAACUUAAGCAUAUCAAUAAGCGGAGGA